UUUAUUAAUGGAAUGUUCUGUUUAUUAAUGGAAUGUUCUGUUUAUUAAUGGAAUGUUCUGUUUAUUUACAGAAUGUUCUGUUUGUUUGCCAUAAGCAGCUCUCUAGAGCGCUACUUGGCAGACAUUGCCUCUCACAGCUAGGUUGCUAUGAUGGCGCACACCACUUGUAGUUUGAUUCUGCAGAUUUUUGUGAACUACCCACCCCAUCAAACUCAGCCUUACCUACAUUCGGGUCUGGAAACAACCUUUCCUGCCUUAAAAGGCAGUGGAAGAGCUAUGGACCCGUU